rnacentral:ncRNA from 1 species
UAAGUUCUGCCGCCGGGUAGAGGAUGUGAGCAUCGAGCGCCGUAUCGUUAGGCCUUAGAAGAUACGGAUGCUGGAUGUUUUUUUAGG